AUGAAGAACGCAGCGAAAUGCGAUACGUAGUGUGAAUUGCAGAAUUCAGUGAAUCAUCGAAUCUUUGAACGCACAUUGCACCUCUCGGUAUUCCGGGAGGUAUGCCUGUUCGAGCGUCAUUUGUACCCUCAAGCUCUGCUUGGUGUUGGGUGUUUGUUCCGCCUCUGUGUGUGAACUCGCCUCAAAACAAUUGGCAGCCGGCGUACUUGUUUCGGAGCGCAGCACAUUUUGCGAUCCAGAUCAACGUACAGCGGCAUCCAAGAAGCCUUAUUUAACGCUCUUGACCUCGGAUCAGGUAGGGAUACCCGCUGAACUUAAGCAUAUUAAUAAGCGGAGGA
rnacentral:misc_RNA from 1 species